GACGUAGGGCGCGAGCGUUUGUCCGGAUUUAUUGGGCGUAAAGGGUGCGUAGGCGGUUUGGUAAGUCUUAUGUGAAAUCUACAGGCUCAACUUGUAGUCUGCAUGAGAAACUGCCGGGCUUGAGUAUGGGAGAGGUGAGUGGAAUUCCUGGUAUAGCGGUGAAAUGCGUAGAUAUCAGGAGGAACACCUGUGGCGAAAGCGGCUCACUGGACCAUAACUGACGCUGAUGCACGAAAGCUAGGGGGAGCAAACAGG
rnacentral:rRNA from 1 species